GAUGAACGCUGGCGGCGUGCCUAAUACAUGCAAGUCGAGCGAACAGACGAGGAGCUUGCUCCUCUGACGUUAGCGGCGGACGGGUGAGUAACACGUGGAUAACCUACCUAUAAGACUGGGAUAACUUCGGGAAACCGGAGCUAAUACCGGAUAAUAUAUUGAACCGCAUGGUUCAAUAGUGAAAGACGGUUUUGCUGUCACUUAUAGAUGGAUCCGCGCCGCAUUAGCUAGUUGGUAAGGUAACGGCUUACCAAGGCAACGAUGCGUAGCCGACCUGAGAGGGUGAUCCGCCAGACUGGAACUGAGAAACGGUCCAGACUCCGACGGGAGGCAGCAGUAGGGAAUCUUCCGCAAUGGGCGAAAGCUUGACGGAGCAACGCCGCGUGAGUGAUGAAGGUCUUCGGAUCGUAAAACUCUGUUAUUAGGGAAGAACAAAUGUGUAAGUAACUAUGCACGUCUUGACGGUACCUAAUCAGAAAGCCACGGCUAACUACGUG
rnacentral:rRNA from 1 species